rnacentral:rRNA from 1 species
GAACCUGCGGAGGGAUCAUUACAAGUGACCCCGGUCUAACCACCGGGAUGUUCAUAACCCUUUGUUGUCCGACUCUGUUGCCUCCGGGGCGACCCUGCCUUCGGGCGGGGGCUCCGGGUGGACACUUCAAACUCUUGCGUAACUUUGCAGUCUGAGUAAACUUAAUUAAUAAAUUAAAACUUUUAACAACGGAUCUCUUGGUUCUGGCAUCGAUGAAGAACGCAGCGAAAUGCGAUAAGUAAUGUGAAUUGCAGAAUUCAGUGAAUCAUCGAAUCUUUGAACGCACAUUGCGCCCCCUGGUAUUCCGGGGGGCAUGCCUGUUCGAGCGUCAUUUCACCACUCAAGCCUCGCUUGGUAUUGGGCAACGCGGUCCGCCGCGUGCCUCAAAUCGACCGGCUGGGUCUUCUGUCCCCUAAGCGUUGUGGAAACUAUUCGCUAAAGGGUGCUCGGGAGGCUACGCCGUAAAACAAACCCAUUUCUAAGGUUGACCUCGGAUCAGG